rnacentral:lncRNA from 1 species
CCAACUGUAACUUAUGCAGAAAAGGGAAAUUUUUAGGAAGCUACGGGGAAAGAUGAUUCAAGGAAAAGGUACUUAACUAAAAUAGGGAAAGUGCUAUGUAUGUAGUUAGCUGAAAUGGAGCCAGGAAUUCACACGUCACUGGAACACCAUUUUAAAAAAUAUGUACGUCACUGUCUUUCAUUAUAGACUAGUUCCUUUCUCAUAGCAGGAGACGUGACCACCAAUGGCAGCCGAGAACCUCCUCCUGUUUUGCAUCACCAAAGCAGAGCCAGUCUUCUUUUUCAGAGUUUGAAAAGACAUCAUUGAAGGAGUAUGAUGGACCCUUCUUGGUUCAGGUGCCUUCCCUGAAAGUAGUGAAGCAAGUCGGGAGGCAAAGCAGUAUCGUUUGCGGGGCUCAGGUUGGCUCCCAUCAACUAUGGGCAGGAUCCAGGAUCAACAGCAGCAGGAAUCAGUUGGGAGUGAGGAGUCCUGGGUAUACAGAAAAUAAGGAGGAAGCAGUUCCCAGAAGAAGGUGAGUUGGAAAGAUAAAGUAGUGUCCUCGCCAGUUAUGAAAUGAUCCCUGGAGUUCCCUUGUGGUGCAGCAGUUAAGUGUCUGCUGUCACUGCAGUGGCCCAGGUCACUGCUGUGGUGUGGAUUCAGUCCCUGGCGCAGGAACUUUCACAUGUUGCAGGCGUGGCCCAAAAAAAGAAUAUCCUUAAAACUUACACUCAAGAUGCCCUGGCAGACAAACCGUCCCUUACCAUAUUGCUUCCAUUUCCAUAAUACAUCUUGCUAGUAUCUAUUUAUAGUCUACCUCGUGCAAGAGCCUAGGGGUAAAGAAAUGAAAUCGUGAACAGUCUCAUACCCUUUGACUUGUAUAACUCUGCAUUCCUUGAUAUUAAUAUUGUCAGACCUGACUUGCUUAAUACUUACAUUUGAAUAAUCAUAUUCUACCCAUAUUUUAGUUUUGAAUAUUUUAUUUCUGUUUGUCUCAUAUACAUAGAAACCUUGGAUUUAGGGAUUUUUCCCCUCGUAUCUAAGCGCAUUGGCCUUUAAUAGUGUAUUAAAUUUUUUUAAGUCUUUAUAAAGACAACUGAGGUUGUUCUUGUUAAACCUUUAUUAAAUAGGCAUAUAUCCUUUCUGCCUUCGUUUUCUUUUUUUUAAAAAGGUAGUUGUUAUUCCUUUCCCCUUCUUCAUUCUUUUGAUCUGCAUUGAUGUAUGCCAUUAGCCUGUUAUUUACAAAUAAUUUCUUUCAAACAUUUUAAUCUUUUGAUGUCAGUUUUGACAAGAUACUUGCAGUUGUUUAGACUUAAUACAAUCAACUUGUCUCACUGUUGCCUACAAGUUCUUGUUUGCUGUUCUUGAGUUCCUCCUUCACACUCAUUAUCCUCUUCCUAUGGACACACUUUGAGUAACAUUUUUUUGGAGUAAAUACAUGCAUUUGCACAAUUCCCAUCGCCUUCACAUAUAAAUAGCUUGGUUAUAUUUAAAAUUCCUGAAUCAUAUGUGUUUUUUCUUUCAAACCUUUGCAAAUAGUGUGUUAUCAUCUUCUAUCUUUUUCCAGGAAAUUUUUUGUAUAGAAUGUUCUGGGCAAAAUAAGAUAUAAAAGAUGCUCCAGAGAAAAGGCUUCCAUGAUCACAUCAGUGUGGGAAAGGAAAGGUACCAGGCAAUGACAUGUCAUAAAAACCAGGAGACAUCCUGAGGGAUGAUGAUGGUUUGACUUAUUUCCAGAUGAUGAUGGUUUGACUUAUUUCCAGUGUAUCCAGCCUAUCUGACCACAGAAAUAUUGAGAGAGAGCUAAUGACCAAUAAUAUGUUUAUAGUUAAUAUUUGUUGAGAAGUUACUAUGAGCGAGGCACUGUUCUAGUGUUUAAUCUAUGGAUAUCAACUCAUUGGGUCCUCAUAGCAACUCUCUAUGGUUGAUAGAAUUUUUUUUUUUUUUUUUUGUCUUUUUGCUAUUUCUUGGGCUGCUCCCACAGCAUAUGGAGGUUCCCAGGCUAGGGGUCGAAUCGGAGCUGUAGCUGCCAGCCUACGCCAGAGCCACAGCAACGCGGGAUCCGAGCUGCGUCUGUGACCUACACCAUAGCUCACGGCAACGCCGGAUCGUUAACCCACUGAGCAAGGGCAGGGACUGAACCUGCAACCUCAUGGUUCCUAGUCAGAUUCGUUAACCACUGCGCCACGAUGGGAACUCCAAGAAUUUUUUUAACCCAUUUUAAUAGAUGAGAAAACUGGAGUUCCCGUCGUGGCUCAGCAGUUAACAAACCCGACUAGCACCCAGCAGGACAUGGGUUUGAUCCCUGGCCUCACUCAGUGGUAUAAGGAUCUGGCGUUGCUGUGAGCUGUGGUGUAGGUCGCAGAUGUGGCUCAGACCCCUUGUUGCUAUGGCUCUGGCAUAGGCCAGUGGCUAUAGCUCUGAAUGGACCCCUAGCCUGGAAACCUGCAUAUGCCACGGGUGUGGCCCUAAAAGACAAAAAGACAAAAAGAAAAAAAAAAAAAGAUGAGAAAACUGAGGCAUGAAGAGUUUGAGAAAAUAAGCUGGAAAAUGGCCAAGCAGACAGUUCCACAUUACUCACAGCCCUGACAGUUACAGGUAAGGGCACAAUAAAGGCAACUUCUCUACCUGUCCCAAGUCUGAAAAACAUAACAAAACAUCUAGUUGCACCAAAAAGGAAAAGGAACUUUCCACCAGAUAGACUCUGUAACAGAAUUUGCUGCUGAAUUACUGCAAAGGCACUCUGGGAGGGUAAUCUGAUUAUCUUCAGUGCAAGUGCUCAAACUCUGCUGUUGGCCAACAUCCAGAACCCAUCAUUGAAUACUCAUCACCUCAUCAAUUCAGCCUUCUCAACUGACGGGCAAAACAACAUCCAAAUAUUCAUUGCACAUCUGUGCUGGGCAGAUUAUACAUUAGCAAUUCAAAUCUGGCCAGUGUACCGGCCGUUCCUGCAAAUGUGUCUGUUUGGGUGAGAUGCCUUGUUGUCUGGGACGGAUAAUAAGGUAACUCGGUCUAAUCUUGAAGAACAAUCAACCCAUCUUGUGAAGGUGACUGGCUGUGUGUGUUCUUGCCCUGGCAGUGCUGGAACAAUGGCCCCAUAAUGCACUCGACUCAGCUGGCAAUGAAGUCCCAUCCUGAUUAGUAGCCGUGGCUGGUGUCAAUCACCACAGCAUGCACCAUUGUCCUCUGGUCCCCAACACAGUUUAUUUACAGGAAAACAAAGGCUUUGGGGGGCUAUGGCUGCUUCCCAGAGAUUGCAAAAUAGAUUGAGCUGUCAAGCACACAAAGUAGAUGAAGAUUAAUGAGUUGUGCGGACAAUAAAUAUGAAGAGAUGACCAUGAAUAUGCUAAUGAGCAUUAUCCAUAUACACCGUAAUUGCUACCAAAAUUAAAAGGUGGCAUGAAGAAGAUGGGUCACGAGGUGACAGGGAGAUAAUCUUAGAUUCUUGAGAUGCUCACCCCAAAUAAGACCCUCUACAGGUUUCUUUUCCCCAAUUAAACCAUCCCCAAACAGCAUUGUUCACAAGCUGUCUGAAUAGACGCCUUUUAAACAGGGAUGUAAGGAGUGGUAUGAGGGGGAAGCUGGAAAAGUUACUUUACGAAAAGGUGUAAUUAGAAGAAGAAAUGUGUUUAUCAAAGGCAAGAAGUGAUCAGCUGUCAGGCUUCCUCCCCUUCCCCAGGGACAGAACUGAUGAGGAUGUCACUUCAAACUUCAGGCCACCACCACAACCCCAGCGCCACAAGGACUGUUAUAACUAUGACAGCGUUAUUUAGAUCACCUUUUAAGGGGGAGUGAGUGAUUUUUCAGGGUAUUCUAAUACUCUGAUGACUUUUUUAGAAUAAACAAAUUUGAAGAACAUAAUGUUUAAAGGCAAGUGAAAUUAUUUGAUUUUGGAAAAUCUGUGUCCUGCAGAACCAUGACAUGGCCGUGGCAUGGCUGAUCCCCACACAGCUUCGCAGCCUCCAUGAGGCAGAAUGGUGUCCUCUGACCCUGCUCGCCCCCUCUCUUCCUUUCCACCCUUCUGUCUGGGGAUGGCAGUGAAGUUAGCAUAAUAGCAUACUGAAGCAAUGCAGUGAGAGUGUGUAUGAACAUGAGAGAAAAAUUUUUCUUAUUUCCUAUGUUUUCUCUUCUGGAGGACCGGGGACAAUGGGCCUUGUCCUCCAAAGGUCUAUGGAGCAUCACCCCAUAAUUGUAAGAACAUACCUUUGCUCCUUCAAGAUAGAGGCCAAGUAUGUAUUUCUUGCCCUAUACCAGAUGAAGGGGAGCAGGAUGAAACCAGGGUCCAAGAAUAGGGCAGAAGGGUGGAAGAGAGGAAGGAAGGUCAGAGGAAGAAGGGGUCCCAGAGACUCUCUGAGGCUGACUCUACAUAGACUGAAAACUGCUUACCAGAUUUCAGGAUAAAGGGAAUUGUAUACAAAUGUAUAAAACAACCUCAGUGAAAGGGUGGGAGAAAAAGGUGCCACCCUAGUUAACUUUGGAAAUCAGUGGAGUCUGCAAAAUUAAGGACACAUAAGAACUUUACUGUAGUUGACAAAGUUGUUCCCACAGGUAAUUUUGGAGGUGAACAAUUCUGAAACCAUUGGAAUUGAACAGUUGAGUAGAUGAAUGGCAGAUGGUGGAGCCAGGUGUGUCCUUGACGGAGUGGGAGUUUUCAGGUAAGCAAGGGGAAAUGGCUUAGAAUGAUCAAUGGUAAUAUGGUCGGAGAUCUCAGUAUGAGAUCAUGUUUAACUUAAUAUAGACACAGAUGGCUACACAAAAAUAUUUAUAGAUAUGUGUAUAUAUGUAAGUUAGUGUACACACAUAUAUUCCCUGGCCUUCUCAGCUGAGAGGGCCUACAGACUGUCAACAAUGACUCAAGAGCAAAAAGCAAACCCCACACCAACCCUUAGUUUCUACUACCAUUCUCCAGUAAAAGAAAGGGUUCAUAGAGAAAUGGCUGAGCCUAAAUGUGCAAGAAAUGGAUGAUAAGCCUAGAUCAUGUAAUACCAAAAAGUAACAAAUG